GAUACAUCUUUAAAAUACGGAUUCUCUCUCUCUCUCUCUCAGAGGCAUUAUGUUCUGAAUAUUGCAUUUCACUAAUUAUUCAGCCAUCAAUUUACUGAUCCACUUCUUACACUGAGGAUCUAGAGGAGAAGUGAGAGUCUUGGGGCUCUGUGCUGUUGAUUUAUUUAUCAAGGGUUGGAGGAGCACACGGAGAGCCUGCCUGCUAGAGGUGCAGGUGAUUUGAAGCUGCGCUGGAUGAGGAGUAGAAACGAGAACCUAGGACGCGCCGCCUGCCCGAUGUCCCUCGUUUUUAACACUCACAGCAACCUUGUAAUGCUGUUGAGGCCAUCUGUGUAGUCAUUCGGCUCAGUGACUUUGGAGUCAGCUAACCGGGUCAGUGUGACCUUGAAAAAAGUCCACUGCAUUUUCUCAGUGUCAUUUCUCCUAUUUAAAACGUGGACAAUUACAGUCUCUACUUUCUGAGCUGAUAUGAAUUAUGACAGGUCCCGUGUCCAGGGCUUGGAACGAAGAAAGUGCUACAUAAAAUGCCAGCCAUCUUUCUCGCUGUCAUUCCCGUUUUAUAGACAAGGAGACAGGGGCUCAGAGCACCUGAGUGUGGCGUGAAGGCUGCACAGCCAGCACGUGGAAGAGCUGGAGUCAGAACCCAGAGCUCCCCAGCUCUGGAGCCCGUUCUUUAUCCACGCUAUGCAAAGGAUCAAGAUUUCAAAAGGUCUGGCUGGGCUGUAGCUGCAAAGUGAGAAAAGGUUCCGUGCAACAGGGAUCAACACAAAGACGCUCAUUAGUGUUGAAAGAAAUAUUUACACAAGCAGAGGUGUAGACAGCACUGGUCUGAUCAUGUCCAGAGGAGAGGAGCUGUCUAGAAACAGCAAGGACGUGGGCUUAAUGGAAGGGAAGGCUGCCUGGGAGGACAGUGCCGCAGUCUCAGGCGGCGUUAGCACAUCCUGUUUGGGUCGCUGAUGACAAUAAUUACCCCAGCACAUUCGGCUUCAGUCACAAGACCUCCACUGCACUGUGACCAGGUUUGAGAAUGACAUUUCAGCAGGACAGAGCGUGUCCUUCUACUAAAGCCAAAGGUUUGGGGAACCAGGAGCUGGGGAGGCUGAGUGCAAGGUGUCAGGACCUUGGGGAAAUUGGUCCAUCUCUUUGGUGAUUUGCAGACCUCCACGGAAGAAAUGAAUUUCCUUGGGAUGCCGCAGGAAAGUGCAACUGGGUUUAAAAUAAGCACUAAAAGGACAUGUUUUAGUUAUGGUGGAUGUUUAGAUAUUUGGCUCGAUUAGAUUUAUGAGCUAUUUGGCUGUGUGGGAUAUUAAGAUAAUUUCUUAUAGUUAGGACUUCAAAACAGAGAGCGAGCUGUUUGGGAGAGGGAAUGUGUCUCUCCCCAUCCAAAAGAAAUUUAAGCAGAGUCUAGGUAACCAUUUUCGUAAUAUCCCAUCGAAAACAGUUAUCCACAGUGAGGAAAUACUGGGACCAAGUGAUUUCCAAUGAAGGUGCUGUGGUACAAUGGAUGUUGAAUAGUCCCAUGGGGUGGGGCCCACCAUGAAGACUCGCUCAGAAAAACCUUUCUCCUCCCCCUUUUCACAUGACCAACACCUCCUUUGUCCAGGUAAAAACUUUCGCUUUCAGAGCUGGUGAAGGAACCGCAUGCCAGGUCUGUGUCCUACUCCUGAGCUACACCCUCAGCCACACUGCGACCUUGGUUUUGACGGCUCAGGAGUCGUGCAGCUGAGACUCGCUUUUUGUGGACACUGGAAAGACCUCUGCGGUCAUUGCUGAUGAGUGAAUUGUUCGCCUUCUCAAUGUUGACGUCAUCUCCCACGCAGAACACAUCACAGGCUGCCUGUGAC